CUGGUAAUUAGUUUAAUAAAAACAA
rnacentral:tRNA from 2 species